UACGUAGGCAGCGAGCGUUGUUCGGAGUUACUGGGCGUAAAGAGUGCGUAGGCGGUUUUCUAAGUUUGGUGUGAAAUCUCCCGGCUCAACUGGGAGGGUGCGCCGAAGACUGGAUGGCUUGAGUUUGGGAGAGGGAUGCGGAAUUCCAGGUGUAGCGGUGAAAUGCGUAGAUAUCUGGAGGAACACCGGUGGCGAAGGCGGCAUCCUGGACCAACACUGACGCUGAGGAGCGAAAGCCAGGGGAGCAAACGGG
rnacentral:rRNA from 1 species